rnacentral:tRNA from 1 species
GAGGGUAUAGCUCAGUGGUAAAGUGCAUGCUUAGCUUGCAUUACUUCCUGGGUUCAGUCCCCAGUACUUCUG